UACGGAGGGUGCAAGCGUUGUCCGGAAUCACUGGGCGUAAAGGGCGCGUAGGCGGCUCAUGAAGGCUGUGGUGAAAGUCCGGGGCUCAACCUCGGAUCGGCCGUGGCGACUCGUGGGCUGGAGCACUGUAGAGGCGGGUGGAAUUCCGGGUGUAGCGGUGGAAUGCGUAGAGAGCCGGAAGAACACCAGUGGCGAAGGCGGCCCGCUGGGCAGUGGCUGACGCUGAGGCGCGACAGCGUGGGGAGCAAACAGG
rnacentral:rRNA from 1 species